AGUGAACGCUGGCGGUAGGCCUAACACAUGCAAGUCGAACGGCAGCACAGUAAGAGCUUGCUCUUACGGGUGGCGAGUGGCGGACGGGUGAGGAAUACAUCGGAAUCUACUUUUUCGUGGGGGAUAACGUAGGGAAACUUACGCUAAUACCGCAUACGACCUACGGGUGAAAGCAGGGGAUCUUCGGACCUUUCGCGAUUGAAUGAGCCGAUGUCGGAUUAGCUAGUUGGCGGGGUAAAGGCCCACCAAGGCGACGAUCCGUAGCUGGUCUUAGAGGAUGAUCAGCCACCCUGGAACUGAGACACGGUCCAGACUCCUACGGGAGGAAGCAGUGGGGAAUAUUGGACAAUGGGCGCAAGCCUGAUCCAGCCAUACCGCGUGGGUGAAGCAGGCCUUCGGGUUGUAAAGCCCUUUUGUUGGGAAAGAAAAGCAGCAGGUUAAUACCCCGCUGUUCUGACGGUACCCAAAGAAUAAGCACCGGCUAACUUCGUG
rnacentral:rRNA from 1 species